UUUUGUGUUAUCCAUCUAGGAUAAUAUUUGUCUCUCACCGUUCACUUAGAGAGGAUGCCAAAGUCGCCUUGCAGCUCCCUUGUCAGAUUUGUGGUUCGUUUGCCGUUUGGGUGUUGGGUGAAGGCGUCUUUUUGAUACUAUUCAUUUGGGUUACCCAUAAAGAGUAACUUUUGGAGUAACUUUUGGAGACUUAGGGCUCUGUUUAUUUGGGUUACCCAUAAAAGAGUAACAUUUGGAGACUUAGGGCUCUGUUCAUUUGGGUUACUCAUAAAGGGUAACAUUUGGAGAUUUAGAGUUCUGUUCAUUUGGGUUACUCAUAAAGGAUAACAUUUGGAGACGUACGUAGCGCUCUGUUCAUUUGGGUUACUCAUAAAGAGUAACAUUUGGAUCUGUUCAUUUGGGUUACUCAUAAAGAGUAACAUCUUGAGACUUAGGGCUCUGUUCAUUUGGGUUAUUCACAAAGAGUAACAUUUAGAGACUUAGGGCUUUGUUCAUUUUGGGUUACUCAUAAAGGGUAACAUUUGGAGACUUAGGGCUCUAUUCAUUUG
rnacentral:lncRNA from 1 species